GAUGAACGCUAGCUACAGGCUUAACACAUGCAAGUCGAGGGGAAACGAUAUUGGAAGCUUGCUUCCGAUAGGCGUCGACCGGCGCACGGGUGAGUAACGCGUAUCCAACCUGCCCACCACUUGGGGAUAACCUUGCGAAAGUAAGACUAAUACCCAACGAUAUCUCUAGAAGCCAUCUGAAGGAGAUUAAAGAUUUAUCGGUGAUGGAUGGGGAUGCGUCUGAUUAGCUUGUUGGCGGGGUAACGGCCCACCAAGGCGACGAUCAGUCGGGGUUCUGAGAGGAAGGUCCCCCACAUUGGAACUGAGACACGGUCCAAACUCCUACGGGAGGCAGCGGUGAGGAAUAUUGGUCAAUGGACGAGAGUCUGAACCAGCCAAGUAGCGUGCAGGAUGACGGCCCUAUGGGUUGUAAACUGCUUUUAUAAGGGAAUAAAGUGAGCCUCGUGAGGCUUUUUGCAUGUACCUUAUGAAUAAGGACCGGCUAAUUCCGUGCCAGCCGCCGCGGUAA
rnacentral:rRNA from 1 species